rnacentral:rRNA from 1 species
AACGAACGCUGGCGGCAGGCUUAACACAUGCAAGUCGAGCGCCUCGCAAGAGGAGCGGCAGACGGGUGAGUAACGCGUGGGAAUCUACCCAUCCCUACGGAACAACUCCGGGAAACUGGAGCUAAUACCGUAUACGCCCCCUUUAAAAUUCCAGGAAUCAUAAAAUGCCCUGGCAUUUUAUGGGGGGGAAAGAUUUAUCG